CCUCCUCCCCCCUCCCACGCGCCUCCUCUCUUCCUUCCCCGCCGCCGCCUGACCUCCUCCUUCUACCCGCUGCUGCCCGGCCUCCUCCCGCCCGCGCCUCCCUCUCCUCCUUCCUCGCCGUCGCCCGGCCUCCUCCCCACCCGUGCCUUCCUCUCCUACUUCCACCCCACCGAUCUGGCGCCACCAAACCCUAGCGCCCCGCCCGGCCCCGGCUCCCACGGGAGGGAAGGAGGAAUGACGAGGCGAGGCAAAGGCGACGGCGUAUGGGACGUGGCGCGGGCGGCGUGGCCCAGGGGGUCGGCCUCCUCCUCCCCUACGGUGGCGCGCCGCCUCCGCCGUCGGCAGGAGGGGGCCGCGGUGGCCGCCGCGCAGCCCGACCAGGAGCUCCCCGGCGAGCAGCCGUUCCCCUACGAGAAGAAGGUGAGGAGGACACGCCCCUGCGUCAAGAGAUCCGUCAAGAGUUGCUCGCGCCGGGAGAGGAAUCCACGUCUGCUCCUGCUGCUCGACUGAUUCCAGAGGGGUAUUCUGAAAUUACCAGAGGGAUGGUCAACUGCGAUGGGGCCUUUUCUCCGUGUUCUUGCACUUCACAGGAGCUAGCCCUGCUUACUGAAAUCUUGUUAAUGCAUUUACUUAGCUAGAUUGGAAGUCUAAAGACAGGAAGUAAACUUUGCAUUUGCUCUCGUCACAGCAUCACAUAUUCUUUGAGCAGUACACAAGUCAGAUUGAAGAUAAUUUCCAAGUCAUGGCUAGAGAAUGUUGAAGAUAAUUUCCAAGUCAUGGCUAGAGAAUGAAAGGGCUAAUAUUUGGAUUCUUCAUGAGAUGUAAAAAAAUCUUUAUGUUUGUACCGUGCAAUCAUACUUAAUCAUUAAUCUGACAAGGCUGGAAUAUUUGUUAUAGUAGCUAAUGACUGAGCCCCUGCUAUGUCUCGAAUAUCAGUAACCUCCUAGGUCUUUAACUAAUAGAAAUAAAUUACUCAUAUAUAUGAUUAUUCAACAUGGUGUUUGCUUUAUCAUGUUUCUGGUUUCUCUCGUUUGUUCUUCCAACAUGAUAGACUGCUGGUCUAGGAAUAUCAUAGCAUCCAUCUUGACCAAACAAGUACUGAUAACCUUCUCUUCCACUAUUAGGGCAUUGAUAUGCUCUUUUGAAUAAUUUCCAGUUUUCGAAGUCCAUCGCUGUAUUUUGGUUGGUUCAUGAAUGCACCAUUAUGUGAAGAUUCCGUAAUGAUGCUUUUAUUUGGUUUCACUUGGUGCAGGGCAAGAAAUUAGUUUUUGUAGGAAGUCGAGAAGGCAGUAUUCAAAGAAAUUCAAAACACUUGGCCUUGAAGUUACUGAGGAAGAGAUCUUCACGUCAUCAUUUGCAGCAGCCAUGUUCUUGAAGUUAAAUAAUUUUUCUCCAGAAAAGAAGAAGUAGACUCAGCGGACAUUAUGUCAUGGACGAACUGUAGGUGGCUCAGUCUGAUUGACACAAGAAAGGGGCAAGGCCAGCUCCAUGUUCCUCUAGCAGAACUGGACCACCAAUCGUUAUAGUUCUGGUCUCAGGAAGCAGGAUGAAUUGGUCCAUCAACGAACACUUUUGCUGCAGAUCUUGGCAGCAAAAAGAGAACUGACUAGGCCCUGGUCAUCUCCGCCCCUGAUAGUGCUCCUAGAUGUGCUACACAUCACCUCCUCGUCUCCUUGGCCGCUUCGCAGCCAGUGGCGUUCGUGCUCGUCGGCAGGACGGUGCAAGGCGCAACUCCGACGUGGUUCCUCGCCGGUUGGACGGUGUUCAGGCGCAACCCCGGCGCCCACUGAGUACUGCCUCGGCUACAACCUCCCUCGGUGAGCUCCAUCUUCCCCUGCUCUACUUCGGCUACUAUAUGGGACAUGGGCAGGGCUAUGAUGAUCAGUUAUCGCUGAUAUAGGCAUGCUCUCGAGCAAUCAAGGCACUUGUGGGUAUUAAUUUGGAUCCUCCCUCGUUUCUUUGAGUCGUUUUGAUCACGUUCUUAUUUUAGUGGCUCCUAUCCUUGGAUGGUCAUUUCUGAUGAGUGAUAACCAGGGCAGUUUCACCCUCAUGAGAACAUAUUGAUCUGGUGAUCCAUCCAUCAAGAAAUAAGGGAUGCAGUCACUCCCGGGCGCUCCCAGAGCUCAGGCGAUUCUGGCCGUCGGAUCGAUUUCCUGAUGCAAUUCUAGCCGCCGGAUCUCGCUCCGGAUUGAUCUCGGCCAUUGGGUCGAGCCCGAGCUCCUGUAGCAAUGAAUAGUUACUCCCGCGGUGAGAUAUCUUGUGUCAUCGCGUGUGAAUCACGUGCCCCAUCGGUCGGAAGCCAUUCUUGCUAGGGCGAUGAUGAUUAACCGUCGCUGAAAUAAGUGUGCCUUUGAGCAAUCGAGUUACCUGUGGGUAUCAAGUUGGAUCCUCCCUCUUGUCUCUAGAAUCCUUUUUGAUCCUGUGAUACUUAUUGUUCUGUCCUUGGAUGGUCAUUCUUGUUGAGUGAUAACCAGGGCAACUCUACUGUAUAAACAAAUUGAUCUGGUGAUAAGAGAUGAUGGGGGUAGGUUAUAUGAUCGAGGAAAGACGAAUCUGAGCCCACUAUGCAAUAGAACUGCAGCUACCUCCCCUAAUGUGUGUAGUAUUGAAGGCAAUAAAGAACUUUUCAUGUCUUGCCACUUUAAAAUUCAAAAAAGGUUCAUUCUUCCUUUUCUGGUUACUUAACCAUGAUUUUUGUUUUUCUUUGGUUCUGGUUGAGAUACUAAAGGUUGUUUAUUUAUGAAAAGAACAAACACUUGUAGUUUUGUAUGCCUCAGCUGUUGCUUAGGAUCCAGUGUUGUAGUGCUUUGCCUAAUUACAAAUAACUCUAAUCAAUAAUAGUGGUAUCAAUAAUAGUGGUUCUUUCCUUCUGAUUUGAACUGAGAGAGAGAGCCAUCCAUUGAUUCUUGAUCUUAAGGUGACCCCAUUUUUCUAUGCCUCAUGCUCAUGCUGCUCUAUGUUCCCUUUUAAAAAUUCUUGCUUGCAUUUUGGGUUGGUUUCUGCUCUAUGUUCCCUUUUAGCGUUUCUUUCCGUUGUUGCUGCACUCCCUUUUGGGCGUUCAUUUCAUGCCCGGGAUCUUGCAAAUUGUGCCUGUGUCGAGCUUGCUUAGAGUACGGGCUGCGGAGACGUCGAGGACCUCAAGGUCACCGAUGUUGUGGAGCUGGAUGAGGUUUCCACGCAGUUCAUCGACCGCCUGUUCUUCCUGGAGAAGGUCUAGAGAUGAUUUACUCUGCCAGGCGGCAGCACUCGAAGCACACAGGAUCCUGAACCUCAACAACAACCCCUACUUUUCUGGGCCCUAAUUUAUUCAAAGAACACUACAUGUCACAUGAAUUCAAAAUUACUUCUCUGGAGUGGCAAAGAAACAAGGGCUUCCCCAAUAUUAUGUGCUUAUUUCUGCAGUACUUCAUAUGCAACAGUUCUACUAAUGUUUAAUGAUUCAUUCUUAUUAAAGUAAGCAAGUAAGAACCAUGUUGUAUCCACCCAUUUGGUGCAGAUAUUCUCCAUGUUUGAUGGCCAUGACCGAGGUUUGAUGUUUUUGUAUUUGCUGGGAUUUGAUAGGACCAGGAGUCCAGGACCAUGAUACUCGUAGUACUGUUCCAUGGCACUGACAGGCCUAUUGUUUGCUGCUUGUGAUGAUUGACAGAGGUUUUGGGUCUAUGUUUAAGCCUCGGUGAGGUUUUGGGUCUCUGUUUAAUCCUUGGUUCAUGAGGAUCCAAAUAUAGGUGGUUCAUAUGUUAAUUGGUUAUGAUUUCCUUGUGUUCAUUGUUGGCCUUCGACGGAUUCAUGCAACUAUAUGCAUUACUCACGUUUGUUGCUUUCCCAGUGAAACAUAUCACAUGCUCAGCAAGAAAACAAAGUCUCAGCCUACUACCUGCAGGACUUUAGUCUUUAAUGACUAAAUGAACGGAUCACAUGAUACAUAGAUGGGGAAUGCCAUUGCUCAAAGGCGAGCAUACGUGACCUUAUUGAAGGAGUUUUGCCCUCUGUUUGUGUCUCAAAUGUCGAUGAUGCCCUCUGUGCUAUCACUCGCAUGUCCUUUUUAUUUUGUUUAUUCAGCGAAUGUUGGAUUAGACAAGGAUUUAUUCACGUUGGAUCUGUACAACUAUGGACUAUUCAUGCAAUUUUUUAUUCAAACUUUGAAAUGAGAGAAUUGGAUGCUUUGUUGUUGCA